rnacentral:miRNA from 1 species
CUUUGGUCAUUGGUUGAUCUU